CGCGGCCUAUCAGCUUGUUGGUAAGGUAACGGCUUACCAAGGCUAUGACGGUUAGCUGGUCUGAGAGGAUGACCAGCCACACUGGAACUGGAACACGGUCCAGACUCCUACGGGAGGCAGCAGUGGGGAAUUUUGCGCAAUGGGCGAAAGCCUGGCGCAGCGACGCCGCGUGGGUGAUGAAGGCCUUCGGGUCGUAAAACCCUGUCAGAGGGGACGAAAAAUAAGUGGGAACGAUACCCCGCUUACCUGACGGUACCCUCAGAGGAAGCACCGGCUAACUCCGUGCCAGCAGCCGCGGUAAUACGGAGGGUGCUAGCGUUGUUCGGAAUUACUGGGCGUAAAGCGCACGUAGGUGGCCUGUGAAGUCUGGUGUGAAAGCCCUCGGCUCAACCGAGGAAGUGCGCUGGAAACCAACAGGCUUGAGUACGGUAGGGGAUCGUGGAAUUCCUGGUGUAGCGGUGAAAUGCGUAGAUAUCAGGAAGAACACCGGCGGCGAAAGCGACGAUCUGGGCCGUUACUGACACUUAGGUGCGAAAGCGUGGGGAGCAAACAGGAUUAGAUACCCUGGUAGUCCACGCUGUAAACGAUGGGUACUAGGUGUCGGCCCUUUAUGGGUCGGUGCCGCAGCUAACGCAUUAAGUACCCCGCCUGGGGAGUACGG
rnacentral:rRNA from 1 species